AAGUGGGACAGUGCCCAGCAGGACUCUGGCUCGGGCUGCUGGGUAUCCAGCCCAAAAAGUGCUCGCCCAGGUCCGUGAGUGGCCGUACACUGGAUGCUCGCUACAGCGUUCUCUCUGAGGGAACAUAAUCUCAGAAUACAACGUUCUUUCAGCGGAAUAAAUUUAACAAGCUGGAACAUUCAUCACAUCUCUUUGUCUUCUGUUCACAAGGGGACGAGGGACCACUUUAUCAUCGUCCAUCCCAGUGUUUGGGAGCCACUGUCUGCAUCCCUUGCCAGCCCCCUCUGUAUGGGAGCUGGACCACAGCACAGCCUUGGAAACAGACACUUGAUGGCCUCAGAAUUAAAGCUCCUCUCUGACUUUGGCCCACUGUUCUAGAACAUAAGCGAUAUCCGUGAUUCUCGCCUUUCUUCAGAGGAGUUCCCUGCCAGGAGCCUCCUGGACUCUCAUGCAGGCUGAAGGAGCAGCUGCCAUUGUGAUGUCAAGAUCAUCUCUGAACAUCUCUGUUUCCAUCAAAAAGAAUUUAUUGGGAGAAGAAUUAGGCAAUGUUUCAAAGUUUCUUGGAUAAGUUUCUAGUGAGCUCUGGAUGCUUAAAAGGCAUAAAGUGUCUCUGGAAGAACACAAUCGAAAGGAACAGCACUGGUUGCCGGUGCAGAGGGGUGUGAGCAUCUGGGGUAUGUUCCAUCUCCACAGCACAUCUUCUACUGUUCCUGUCAUGCGACCUGUGGCUUUUUGAGUUGGGACACCAGCAGCCUGGAACACAGAGGCAUGAAUGUGGAUAACCUUGAUAGGGAGGGAGUGAACCAAUACUGUUUACAAGCUGCGUGAGCAAGGACAAGUCAGCUCCACUCUCCAGGGCUCAGUUUUCCUCCCAUGUGAUGAGGGCACCUCAUGAGAGCCAAUGAUCUCUAACAUCCACUGAGCCCCAGGCUGUCUCUGAAUCUGAGGUUUGGGGAAUUUCAAGGAUUGGGGUUAUGUGCUGGGUCAUGUUCUGAGGGCCCUCUACAAGCAUUUCUAUUGCAUUGGAUGCGGAGGGACCAUCUGAUUUUGCAAACCACAGCCCUCACCUGCAGUGGAUGCAGCCAUCAUGGAAAAAACCUCUCCACCUGCUCCCCUGGGGCAUAACCUGCUCCUCUGACCCAGAAUACAGGGCUUCAAGAGAGAAAAUGCCUGCUGAAGAGCAGCAACGACAAAGACCACAGAGUAUCUUCUCUGUUGCCCAUGGCUCCUCAGCGAAGUGAAAGCACUAGGAAAGAUGUGGGCAGCAGUAACAAGAAUGUUACCUUCCAUUUAUUGAACAUCACCUAGGCCUCAUGCACUCCUUCUCAUUCUCACAGUGAUUCUGCAAACGUGAAGUUAUUAUUUUGUAGAGGAAGAGACUGCAGUUCAGAGAAGUUAAGUAAGAGCCCAAAGUCACAGAGCUACUAAAUCGAAGAGCAAGGAUUCAAAUUCUGGCUGACUCACUCCA
rnacentral:lncRNA from 1 species